CCACAGCUGGUAGAUCUGAUUUCAAUUACACUGAACCAUCAUCAUCAGUGGAACCUUGUAUUAUUCAAGAGAAGAUUAAGUCAACAGGUGCUAGUGUUGAGCCUUCAGUACAAAGUGCUGGUACUGUUCCACAGGCAACAGGUGCAGACGUGGAAAGAACUACUUUUUAUGGAGAAUAUAUGAAACAAGAUAGGAUCUAUAUUGAGAAGCGCUUUCUCAAUUUCAAGAAUGAUCAGCCAUGCUGUUGCCAAAAGAAGGAGAGAUUUUCUCAGGGUGUUGCUU
rnacentral:misc_RNA from 1 species